rnacentral:lncRNA from 1 species
GUCAGGGGAGUUCUGGGAGAUGUAGUUCCUCUUUCUCCUGCCAUCGUGCAUUCCCUCCGCCCCCUCCCCCAACCUCCUCACACACUUCAUCGCUCAACUGCCAGUGUCGUUACCAUCAACAUAAACGACGGUAGUAAAUAAUGGCAGUAUGAUUACAUUCAUACUUUAUGUACCACCCUCUCAACAGUGCUGCAAAGGCUGUUUGGAUAUGGAGGAGGCCAAAGUGGCAAUUACUCAGACUGGCGUCCAAAUCUGGAAAUUCCCACACCAGCAUGUUCUCUCCACUCUGCUCCCUCUUCAGAGGGAAUUGGUUUGCAGGGAUUUAGACUACAGUAAGGCUUCCCCAGAGCUUGCAAACAGGGUUCAUUUACCCUCUAUGCAAACAAGGUCAACAACUCCAGAACUGCAGUAGAAGCAGCAAAGAACAGAAAUAAUUUGAUACUAACAUCCUCAUUCUACAGAAUUUGAGCUUUGCUAAAGAAAACUGAAGUUACUAUUGAGUCUGUUCGUUUGCUUUCCCCUUUCUCCCAUGUUUCAGCCGUUCAGAAUGUCAAUAAUUUACCCUAAGACAAC